rnacentral:rRNA from 1 species
UGCCCCAGUAACGGCGAGUGAAGCGGCAAGAGCUCAAAUUUGAAAUCUGGCCCCUCCGGGGUCCGAGUUGUAAUUUGCAGAGGAUGCUUCGGGUACGGCCCCGGUCUAAGUCCCCUGGAACGGGGCGUCAUAGAGGGUGAGAAUCCCGUCUGGGAUCGUCGGCCGUGCCCGUGUGAAGCUCCUUCGACGAGUCGAGUUGUUUGGGAAUGCAGCUCUAAAUGGGUGGUAAAUUUCAUCUAAAGCUAAAUACUGGCCGGAGACCGAUAGCGCACAAGUAGAGUGAUCGAAAGAUGAAAAGCACUUUGAAAAGAGAGUUAAACAGCACGUGAAAUUGUUGAAAGGGAAGCGCUUGCGACCAGACUCGCCCGCGGGGUUCAGCCGGGAUUCGUCCCGGUGUACUUCCCCGCGGUCGGGCCAGCGUCGGUUUGGGCGGCCGGUCAAAGGCCCCGGGAAUGUAUCGCCCUCCGGGGCGUCUUAUAGCCCGGGGUGCAAUGCGGCCUGCCCGGACCGAGGAACGCGCUUCGGCACGGACGCUGGCGUAAUGGUCGUAAGCGGCCCGUCUUGAAACACGGACCAAGGAGUCUAACAUCUACGCGAGUGUUCGGGUGUCAAACCCGUCCGCGCAGUGAAAGCGAACGGAGGUGGGAGCCCUGAAGGGUGCACCAUCGACCGAUCCUGAUGUCUUCGGAUGGAUUUGAGUAAGAGCGUAGCUGUUGGGACCCGAAAGAUGGUGAACUAUGCCUGAAUAGGGCGAAGCCAGAGGAAACUCUGGUGGAGGCUCGCAGCGGUUCUGACGUGCAAAUCGAUCGUCGAAUUU